UUUAAUAAAAUUAAAAUAAGAAUAAGAAAAAAGAUUAAUCAAAAUGGGGAUUUAGGGUUCAUUUUAUGACUAUUCAACUUCUCCUCUCAGACUCAACUCCGUCUUUCGCUCGAAUACGACGGCGCCGGAGCUACUCCGACCAAAAAUUACAGCGCCACCGUGAUGAACACACCACCAACGACCUCUUCUUCCUAAUUUCGAGUUUAGCCUAACGUGAUUCCUCAUUAGUCUCUCGUUCUCACUCUCUAAUCCUCAAAACGGAACGAACGAAAACCUAAGUGAUAUCAACCGGUUUACACAACAAUUUCGAUCCAAUUAGAAGCUACCACCAUAGGGGUUUUGGUCAACAGAACAAGCUCUAACACCUCGUAGAUGAAAAGAAUGCAAGAAUCGGAAAGUUGUAGCGUUUACCUGGAGAGUAUGAAGCUUGAUGAUAGUUGUUGAGGAAAACCAGAGAUUGUCUUGCUCUGAAGGUUGAUGUGAUGACGAAGGUGAUUAUGUAUGAAGCUGCGAAGAUCCAGUAACUCGUUGGAGAUGCUGAUUAUUGAUGGUGAAGAGGAGAAGGAUUGAAGCUCGAAUCCAAAGGAAGAUUGCAGAGAGAAUCGUUUUUACAGAGAGUUGAAGAAGAGGGAGAAUGGAGUGUGAAGAUGAAGAUUGUGAAAUGGUG